AUUAAGCAUGCAAGUAUAAGUAUGAACUAGAUUAGAUUGUGAAACUAUAAAUGACUUAUUAAAUCAGCUAUAAUUUGUUUAAUGGUAUCUACUACUUGAAUAACCAUAGUAAUUCUAGAGUUAAUAUAUUCAACAAACCCUCAAUUUUUAAAAGGAAUGCAUCUAUUAGAUAAAAGGUUGAUACAAGUUUUUCUUAUUGCUAUGAUAAUUCAUAUAAUAACUUGAUGGAUUGCACGACCAUCAUACCAACAAUGUAUCAUUCAAAUUCUUACCCUAUCAAUUUUUAAUGGUAAUGGUGGUGAAAUGAUGAAGAAUUAUGGUUUGAUUUCAGAGAGAAGCCUGGGAAAUGACUACCACAUCCAAGGAAGACAACAUGUG
rnacentral:ncRNA from 1 species